rnacentral:rRNA from 1 species
UUUUAAUGAAGACCUGUAUGAAUGGCAUAACGAGGGCUUAACUGUCUCCUCUUUCCAGUGAAUGAAAUUGAUCUCUCCGUGCAGAAGCGGGGAUAAAAACAUAAGACGAGAAGACCCUAUGGAGCUUUAGACACAAAGACAGAUCAUGNUAAACACCCCCCAAUAAAGGCCUAAACUUAAUGAUCCCCUGUCCUAAUGGCUUCGGGUGGGGCGACCAUGGGGAAACACAAAUCCCCCAUGGGGAAUAGGAGGACAAUCCCAUAUUAUUUUCCUCUCCUCCCACAAGCAAGAGCCACAACUCUAGCUAACAGAACUUUUGACCUUAUAUGAUCCGGCGCACGCCGAUCAACGGACCAAGUUACCCUAGGGAUAACAGCGCAAUCCCCUUUUAGAGCCCAUAUCGACNAGGG